AUACUCUGGUUUCCCUUCAGAUCAUAUAAAUCUUUUGCCUUUUACUAAAGAUUUCUGUGGACAGAGACAGACAGUGGUUGGGCCCAUUCUCCUCUUCCUCUCCUCCCAAGAC
ensembl:snRNA U5 U5 spliceosomal RNA